ACGGUUAUGUUAGUCGGACAGGCCUGUAUCUAAAAGGAUUCCUCUCUCUAGGUUCUGGGGACUUGUUCACUCUAUCACUCUGGUCAGAUCGCUCUGUCUUUGUACUAGUAGGGGAUGACUUUGGCACCCUGAAUGGCUGCCUUGGCGCUAUGUAAAUCGCAUUUGAACGUCUUUAUCAUGAAAAGGGCACUAUAUAAAUCUGGUAUAAUAUAUAAUUAUAUAACCCGUCUGUUUCCUUCGUUAGAUAUCCAGCCUGUUCUUUAAAUCAUUAUAUAUCUUUUGACGACCGUAUCCUGUCAGCUGGAUUCUCAUGAUACUAGUACUAACCUGUUCUCCACAAGUAACUGACAACUUCUCCACAUGAUUCAGACGCAGAGGACGAAUGGUUUCAGAAACAAUUGUUUAUCAAAUCAUAACAGAGUACAAACACCUCGCCCGUGAAUCGAACUCACGACCCAGCUAAAAACGGAUCGUGUGGUCGUUAGUUCUAUAUUAUGUUGAUAAAAGACAUUAUGUUUGAAGUCAUACGUCUUCCAAGCUUGUUCCUCCAUUAUAACCAGUUUGUUCAAAAAUUCAUGUCCCGUCUGUUCCAUCAUUAUAUCUGUCAUACGUCCCGUCAUUUCUUUUAUACGUAGAUGAGAGUAACAAUUCUGCAGCAUUCUUUUCACUGUUUGUUGCUGCUCUUCUCGAAUGCAAUAAAAUGUAGUUCCUGCCAAGACCCGAAUAUUUGUUCCAUUUUCUUCCAGGUUCUAAAUUUACAAAAGAAGGCCAAGGACUAACCUGGGAAGAAGAUAGAAAUCAUUGCUCCAGGACUAACCUAGGGACGUCUUUUUUAACCACUUUGGUAGUUCAUACACGCCCGGGAAUUCCAUACCGGACAACGUAGUAGCACUCUUUCAAAACUAGCCGUAGCAAAACUCUGAGUUGUGGUGCAGAAAAAUGAAAAGUGUCCAAGAAAAUCGUAUUCAAUAUGAUAUAUCACUACAUAACACAGCACGUCGGUCAAAUUGGUAUCUUUGAGUAGCAGGUAACGGCUAGUGAAAGUGUAGUUUCCGAAGUGCGAAUCACGUGACAUUUGUUGGGCGUGAACUGGUGUUCAUUCAGUAGACAGUCGGUAAAGCAAAGCGAGGAAGGAAGGCUUGAAAGCAGACGCUUUUAAUAUUUCCAUGUAAACAUAAAAAUAAUGACCGUAGAGAGCCAGACAUUUUGUUCCCAUGGUGCCGUCUCCUGCCUUCAAUUUAAUAGACCACUACUGCAUAGAUCUUCAGUAUCUUCAGUUAUUCUAAAAUGGAAAGGACAAGGUCAUGAUGAUGUUACUAGAAUUUCCUGACACUGCUAUUUAAAGAGUCUGAAACACUGCACCACAAGAUGCUGUAACCUCCAAAUGUGUGGUGGAUGAAUCUUACCACAAUGGCCAGCUGUGAUUCUACUUGAACAGCUCUAUAGGCAUAGAGCAAUAUGCGUUAGAGUGAAGAGGUGCACCAUAGCAUUAAAUAACCUCCAACUGGAGCUUACCUUCAACUUUCUGGAAUUCAUUUUCCUAACAUCACCACGGCAAUGACCUUCUAGCUGCCAGAAUGGGAACGAGAACAUACCUCAGUGAAAACCAGUUUAAGACAUUUUCAUUCUUCAAGAAUGAGAAUGUUUCUAUUCCAAUGGCUGUAAGCAUGAAAUCACAUUGCCUUGUGCUGUUCAAAGACAUCUUCUAAGAGUUGAUCAACAAGAUGUAUACCUCUAAUUGUGUCUUAGCCAAAAAGUUAACUUGGACCUGCUUUACAGGGAGUCAUUGAUGAUCAACUAGUUAGUAGGACACACUUCACAGAUGGAAUCACUUUACAUUAUCUGGCUGGAGCUGAGACUACCAUCAGGAAAAUCUUCCAUGUAAUAACACUAACCCAGAGUCUUACUACUAUGUCUUCCACAAAGUAACACUGACCCAGAACAUUGCUGCAGAGUCUGUCACACAGUAAUGCUGACUAGGACAUCGCUAUUUUAUGUUUCCACGCAGUGACACUGACCAAGAAUGUUGCUACUAGUAGUCCACACAGGAAAAACACACAGUAACGCUGGCUUAGGAUGUUGCUACUGAAUCAUCCGUUCAGUUACACACUGACCCUAAAGUGUUGUUUUUCUAUCGUCUGGAAUAUUCAGACAGAAUACAGAAGUUACCUGUCAAUAUUUAAAGCAUAAUAAACUCUUUAUUGUCUUUUAAUAUUAACACUCCUGAUACUGAAGGCUUGGAUCUGCUGAACAUUGGAAAGAAAGCUGAGGUUAACAUUGCCACUCACUGUGUGUGACAUAAAUGCAAAAUUCAUUCAAAUGUGACAGUGAAAGAGAAUUAGAAUUCAGUUAAGUAACAUUUACAUAAUAUUCAUGAGUGGUUGUGAAAACUCACUGAAUGUGACAUUAAAGUUAAGAUGACAGUGAAAGAAAGACAGUUAUACUUACUAGAAAAACUCAUGUUGCGACCAUGUACGAUUAGAUAUUAAAAUCAUGUUUAAAAGUGACAGUAGGUACAGUAAAAUGGUGAUAAUACAUGUUUUGAUUGUUAAGGAGGUAGGUUACCUUGUUACAAGGGUAAAUUCAAAUUAGUUGAACCGCAGCAUUCUUUUGUAUUUCGUGUAAUAUGAAGUUUUAACUGCUACAAUCUCAGUUUAGUUUGUCUCUUUC
rnacentral:lncRNA from 1 species